rnacentral:rRNA from 1 species
GACGAACGCUGGCGGCGUGCCUAAUACAUGCAAGUCGAACGAACUCUGGUAUUGAUUGGUGCUUGCAUCAUGAUUUACAUUUGAGUGAGUGGCGAACUGGUGAGUAACACGUGGGAAACCUGCCCAGAAGCGGGGGAGUAACACCUGGAAACAGAUGCUAAUACCGCAUAACAACUUGGACCGCAUGGUCCGAGUUUGAAAGAUGGCUUCGGCUAUCACUUUUGG